rnacentral:lncRNA from 1 species
GUCUCUAUAUGAGGCAACCGACCUCAUACCUUUCCAGAAGUCUCUGUCUUGAGGCAAUAUAGAGAACCACAGUUGAUCCUUAUUAAACCAAGCGUUGCAACCGACCUCAUACUUUUCCAGAAAUCUCUCUCAAACAAAAUCGAAAUCCAAUCUGAUAAUCCACCGACAUCAGCGAUUAAAUAUGAUUCAUCCUUUUCGGGCAGCCUCUAUCCAAAUCGAGCUUCAUAUUCAACCGACCUCGGCGGGGGAAUUGAAAUCAAGAACAGUAAGAAUUGGAAAAGACAACUUCUGAUUCUAAUCACUGUUGAGGUACUUCAUCGGGUCUCCUUUUCUCAGGUUGUCGUCUAUAGCUUUUGAUUAUAAUCACUGUUGAGAAUUGUCGUGUAUCAAUUUGCCAACAACAGUUUCAGAUUGGAUUGAAGCUUGCAUAAACUUAGACCUCCAUCACUCAUUGUCGAGCUUCAUCCAGGUUCUCUAGCUUGACGUCAAAUGCAUCUGUAUGCUGAGAGUUGGAAUGUUUCUGCAAGGUCUGAUGGCUGAAUUUGUUGGUUGUUAGAAAUCAGAACAAGCUUC